rnacentral:rRNA from 1 species
GUUGAACGCUGGCGGCAUGCCUUACACAUGCAAGUCGAUCGGCAGCAUGGAGAGCUUGCUCUCUGAUGGCGAGUGGCGAACGGGUGAGUAAUGCAUCGGAACGUACCGUGUAAUGGGGGAUACCGUAGCGAAUGUUACGCUAAUACCGCAUACGACCUGAGGGUGAAAGCAGGGGAUCGAAAGACCUUGCGUUAUACGAGCGGCCGAUGUCAGAUUAGCUAGUUGGUGAGGUAAAGGCUCGCCAAGGCGACGAUCUGUGGCGGGUCUGAGAGGAUGAUCCGCCACACUGGGACUGAGACACGGCCCAGACUCCUACGGGAGGCAGCAGUGGGGAAUUUUGGACAAUGGGGGCAACCCUGAUCCAGCCAUGCCGCGUGAGUGAAGAAGGCCUUCGGGUUGUAAAGCUCUUUCGGCCGGGAAGAAAUCGCACAGGCUAAUACUCUGUGUGGAUGACGGUACCGGCAUAAGAAGCACCGGCUAACUACGUGCCAGCCGCCGCGGUAAGAC